CUUAAGUGGGGAAUAACGCAUCGAAAGGUGUGCUAAUACCGCAUAAUCUCUGAGGAGAAAAGCAGGGGAUCGCAAGACCUUGCGCUUUUGGAGCGGCCGAUGUCUGAUUAGCUUGUUGGUGAGGUAAAGGCUUACCAAGGCUUCGAUCAGUAGCUGGUCUGAGAGGACGGCCAGCCACACUGGGACUGAGACACGGCCCAGACUCCUACGGGAGGCAGCAGUGGGGAAUUUUGGACAAUGGGGGCAACCCUGAUCCAGCCAUGCCGCGUGAGUGAAGAAGGCCUUCGGGUUGUAAAGCUCUUUCAGCCGGAACGAAACGGUUACGGUUAAUACCCGUAACUACUGACGGUACCGGAAGAAGAAGCACCGGCUAACUACGUGCCAGCAGCCGCGGUAAUACGUAGGGUGCGAGCGUUAAUCGGAAUUACUGGGCGUAAAGCGUGCGCAGGUGGUUUUGUAAGUCAGAUGUGAAAUCCCCGGGCUUAACCUGGGAACUGCGUUUGAAACUACAAGGCUUGAGUGUGGCAGAGGGGGGCGGAAUUCCGCGUGUAGCAGUGAAAUGCGUAGAGAUGUGGAGGAACACCGAUGGCGAAGGCAGCCCCCUGGGUCAACACUGACGCUCAGGCACGAAAGCAUGGGGGGCAAACAGGAUUAGAUACCCUGGUAGUCCAUGCCCUAAACGAUGUCAACUAGUUGUCGGGUCUUAACGGGCUUGGUAACGUAGCUAACGCGUGAAGUUGACCGCCUGGGGAGUACGAUCGCAAGAUUAAAACUCAAAGGAAUUGACGGGGACCCGCACAAGCGGUGGAUUAUGUGGAUUAAUUCGAUGCAACGCGAAAAACCUUACCUACCCUUGACAUGUAUUGGAGCCCGCAGAGAUGUGGGUGUGCCCGAAAGGGAACGAUAACACAGGUGCUGCAUGGCUGUCGUCAGCUCGUGUCGUGAGAUGUUGGGUUAAGUCCCGCAACGAGCGCAACCCUUGUCAUUAAUUGCCAUCAUUUAGUUGGGCACUUUAAUGAGACUGCCGGUGACAAACCGGAGGAAGGUGGGGAUGACGUCAAGUCCUCAUGGCCCUUAUGGGUAGGGCUUCACACGUAA
rnacentral:rRNA from 1 species